AAUAUUGGACAAUGGGCGAAAGCCUGAUCCAGCCAUGCCGCGUGUGUGAAGAAGGNCUNNGGAUUNUNAAGCACUUUAAGUUGNNNNNAAGGGGUUGAAACUAAUACCUUCAAUCUUUGACGUUACCAACAGAAUAACCACCGGCUAACCUUGUGCCAGCAGCCGCGGUAAUAUAGAGGGUGCACGCGUUAAUCGGAAUUACUGGGCGUAAAGCGAACGUAGGUGGUUCAGUAAGAUGGAAGUGAAAUCGCAGGGCUUAACCUGGGAACUGCAUUCAUAACUGCUAAGCUAGAGUACGGUAGAGGGUAGUGGAAUUUCCUGUGUAGCGGUGAAAUGCGUAGAUAUAGGAAGGAACACCAGUGGCGAAGGCGACUACCUGGACUGAUACUGACACUGAGGUGCGAAAGCGUGGGGAGCAAACAGG
rnacentral:rRNA from 1 species